rnacentral:rRNA from 1 species
UACGGGGGGGGCAAGCGUUGUUCGGAAUUACUGGGCGUAAAGGGCUCGUAGGCGGCCAACUAAGUCGGAUGUGAAAUCCCCAGGCUUAACCUGGGAACUGCAUCCGAUACUGGAUGGCUUGAAUCCGGGAGAGGGAUGCAGAAUUCCAGGUGUAGCGGUGAAAUGCGUAGAUAUCUGGAGGAAUACCGGUGGCGAAGGCGGUCGGCUGGGCAGUAGCUGACACUGAUGCGCGACAGCGUGGGGAGCAAACAGG